GGGUUGUGAGGUUAAGCGACUAAGCGUACACGGUGGAUGCCCUGGCAGUCAGAGGCGAUGAAGGACGUGCUAAUCUGCGAUAAGCGUCGGUAAGGUGAUAUGAACCGUUAUAACCGGCGAUUUCCGAAUGGGGAAACCCAGUGUGAUUCGUCACACUAUCAUUAACUGAAUCCAUAGGUUAAUGAGGCGAACCGGGGGAACUGAAACAUCUAAGUACCCCGAGGAAAAGAAAUCAACCGAGAUUCCCCCAGUAGCGGCGAGCGAACGGGGAGCUGUGAGCUCGAUGAGUAGGGCGGGACACGUGGUAUCCUGUCUGAAUAUGGGGGGACCAUCCUCCAAGGCUAAAUACUCCUGACUGACCGAUAGUGAACCAGUACCGUGAGGGAAAGGCGAAAAGAACCCCGGCGAGGGGAGUGAAAAAGAACCUGAAACCGUGUACGUACAAGCAGUGGGAGCACGCUUAGGCGUGUGACUGCGUACCUUUUGUAUAAUGGGUCAGCGACUUAUAUUCUGUAGCAAGGUUAACCGAAUAGGGGAGCCGAAGGGAAACCGAGUCUUAACUGGGCGUUAAGUUGCAGGGUAUAGACCCGAAACCCGGUGAUCUAGCCAUGGGCAGGUUGAAGGUUGGGUAACACUAACUGGAGGACCGAACCGACUAAUGUUGAAAAAUUAGCGGAUGACUUGUGGCUGGGGGUGAAAGGCCAAUCAAACCGGGAGAUAGCUGGUUCUCCCCGAAAGCUAUUUAGGUAGCGCCUCGUGAAUUCAUCUCCGGGGGUAGAGCACUGUUUCGGCAAGGGGGUCAUCCCGACUUACCAACCCGAUGCAAACUGCGAAUACCGGAGAAUGUUAUCACGGGAGACACACGGCGGGUGCUAACGUCCGUCGUGAAGAGGGAAACAACCCAGACCGCCAGCUAAGGUCCCAAAGUCAUGGUUAAGUGGGAAACGAUGUGGGAAGGCCCAGACAGCCAGGAUGUUGGCUUAGAAGCAGCCAUCAUUUAAAGAAAGCGUAAUAGCUCACUGGUCGAGUCGGCCUGCGCGGAAGAUGUAACGGGGCUAAACCAUGCACCGAAGCUGCGGCAGCGACGCUUAUGCGUUGUUGGGUAGGGGAGCGUUCUGUAAGCCUGCGAAGGUGUGCUGUGAGGCAUGCUGGAGGUAUCAGAAGUGCGAAUGCUGACAUAAGUAACGAUAAAGCGGGUGAAAAGCCCGCUCGCCGGAAGACCAAGGGUUCCUGUCCAACGUUAAUCGGGGCAGGGUGAGUCGACCCCUAAGGCGAGGCCGAAAGGCGUAGUCGAUGGGAAACAGGUUAAUAUUCCUGUACUUGGUGUUACUGCGAAGGGGGGACGGAGAAGGCUAUGUUGGCCGGGCGACGGUUGUCCCGGUUUAAGCGUGUAGGCUGGUUUUCCAGGCAAAUCCGGAAAACUAAGGCUGAGGCGUGAUGACGAGGCACUACGGUGCUGAAGCAACAAAUGCCCUGCUUCCAGGAAAAGCCUCUAAGCAUCAGGUAACAUCAAAUCGUACCCCAAACCGACACAGGUGGUCAGGUAGAGAAUACCAAGGCGCUUGAGAGAACUCGGGUGAAGGAACUAGGCAAAAUGGUGCCGUAACUUCGGGAGAAGGCACGCUGAUAUGUAGGUGAAGUCCCUCGCGGAUGGAGCUGAAAUCAGUCGAAGAUACCAGCUGGCUGCAACUGUUUAUUAAAAACACAGCACUGUGCAAACACGAAAGUGGACGUAUACGGUGUGACGCCUGCCCGGUGCCGGAAGGUUAAUUGAUGGGGUCAGCGCAAGCGAAGCUCUUGAUCGAAGCCCCGGUAAACGGCGGCCGUAACUAUAACGGUCCUAAGGUAGCGAAAUUCCUUGUCGGGUAAGUUCCGACCUGCACGAAUGGCGUAAUGAUGGCCAGGCUGUCUCCACCCGAGACUCAGUGAAAUUGAACUCGCUGUGAAGAUGCAGUGUACCCGCGGCAAGACGGAAAGACCCCGUGAACCUUUACUAUAGCUUGACACUGAACAUUGAGCCUUGAUGUGUAGGAUAGGUGGGAGGCUUUGAAGUGUGGACGCCAGUCUGCAUGGAGCCGACCUUGAAAUACCACCCUUUAAUGUUUGAUGUUCUAACGUUGACCCGUGAUCCGGGUUGCGGACAGUGUCUGGUGGGUAGUUUGACUGGGGCGGUCUCCUCCUAAAGAGUAACGGAGGAGCACGAAGGUUGGCUAAUCCUGGUCGGACAUCAGGAGGUUAGUGCAAUGGCAUAAGCCAGCUUGACUGCGAGCGUGACGGCGCGAGCAGGUGCGAAAGCAGGUCAUAGUGAUCCGGUGGUUCUGAAUGGAAGGGCCAUCGCUCAACGGAUAAAAGGUACUCCGGGGAUAACAGGCUGAUACCGCCCAAGAGUUCAUAUCGACGGCGGUGUUUGGCACCUCGAUGUCGGCUCAUCACAUCCUGGGGCUGAAGUAGGUCCCAAGGGUAUGGCUGUUCGCCAUUUAAAGUGGUACGCGAGCUGGGUUUAGAACGUCGUGAGACAGUUCGGUCCCUAUCUGCCGUGGGCGCUGGAGAACUGAGGGGGGCUGCUCCUAGUACGAGAGGACCGGAGUGGACGCAUCACUGGUGUUCGGGUUGUCAUGCCAAUGGCACUGCCCGGUAGCUAAAUGCGGAAGAGAUAAGUGCUGAAAGCAUCUAAGCACGAAACUUGCCCCGAGAUGAGUUCUCCCUGACUCCUUGAGAGUCCUGAAGGAACGUUGAAGACGACGACGUUGAUAGGCCGGGUGUGUAAGCGCAGCGAUGCGUUGAGCUAACCGGUACUAAUGAACCGUGAGGCUUAACCUUACAACGCCGAAGGUGUUU
rnacentral:rRNA from 1 species